UACGGGGGGGGCAAGCGUUGUUCGGAAUUACUGGGCGUAAAGGGCUCGUAGGCGGCCAACUAAGUCGGAUGUGAAAUCCCCAGGCUUAACCUGGGAACUGCAUCCGAUACUGGAUGGCUUGAAUCCGGGAGAGGGAUGCAGAAUUCCUGGUGUAGCGGUGAAAUGCGUAGAUAUCAGGAGGAACACCGGUGGCGAAGGCGGUUCUCUGGGAAUAUCCUGACGCUGAGGAGCGAAAGUGUGGGGAGCGAACAGG
rnacentral:rRNA from 1 species